rnacentral:tRNA from 1 species
CAUUAGAUGGCUGAAAGUAAGCAAUGGAAUUUUAAACCAGACAAUAAUAAAUUAACACAUAUUUCUAAUGA